GGUGAUGAGAACAUUUCAGAUCUACUCUCUUAGCCACUUUCAAGAAUAUAAUACAUGUCCUUGUUUGGCUUUGGUAUCAAGGUAGUGCUGGCCUCAUAAACUACAGGAAAUAAAAAGGCUACUGGAAUGCAGACCAGGAAGAAGUAUUCCCACAAGGCUUUGCAAAAUGAAAUCUACAAUCCCUGAG